rnacentral:rRNA from 1 species
GACGAACGCUGGCGGCGUGCUUAACACAUGCAAGUCGAACGGAAAGGCCCUGCUUUUGUGGGGUGCUCGAGUGGCGAACGGGUGAGUAACACGUGAGUAACCUGCCCUUGACUUUGGGAUAACUUCAGGAAACUGGGGCUAAUACCGGAUAGGAGCUCCUGCUGCAUGGUGGGGGUUGGAAAGUUUCGGCGGUUGGGGAUGGACUCGCGGCUUAUCAGCUUGUUGGUGGGGUAGUGGCUUACCAAGGAUUUGACGGGUAGCCGGCCUGAGAGGGUGACCGGCCACAUUGGGACUGAGGUACGGCCCAGACUCGUACGGGAGGCAGCAGUGGGGAAUAUUGCACAAUGGGCGGAAGCCUGAUGCAGCAGCGCCGCGUGCGGGAUGACGGCCUUCGGGUUGUAAACCGCUUUCGCCUGUGACGCAGCGUGAGUGACGGUAAUGGGUAAAGAAGCACCGGCUAACUACGUG